rnacentral:rRNA from 1 species
AUGGCUUCCGCUGCCCCCUGCCCUCCGGCCGCCGGCACCACCGUCACCAGAGCCAGCAACAGCAAGCCACCGACCGCCGGAUCACACGCCAACCUCCUCCCCGCUUCUCCCUCCCCCGCGUCCNNNNNNNNNNNNNNNNNNNNNNNNNNNNNNNNNNNNNNNNNNNNNNNNNNNNNNNNNNNNNNNNNNNNNNNNNNNNNNNNNNNNNNNNNNNNNNNNNNNNNNNNNNNNNNNNNNNNNNNNNNNNNCUCCCUCGCCGCCAUGUCUCCGCGCGAGCAGACUGCCCUUCUCUCGCGGCAGCGCCACUGGCGCCGCGCCCACGACCUGUUCGACCGCGUGCGCGCGCUCCCAGGCUACGCGCCCAACCCUGUCCACUACAGCGUGCUCCUCCGCCACCUUGCCCGCGCGCGCCGGUGGUCCGAGCUCCGCCGCGUCUGGCUCAUGAUGUCCCGGGAAGACGCCAUCCCGCCCUCCAAUCCAGCUUACGCCUCGCUCGCCGAUGCCCUCGCCAAGGCCGGUUCGGCACAGGAAUCCCUCCUGCUUCUCCUGCACAUGCGCGCACUGGGUGUUGCCCCCGACGAGAUAUCCAUGAACACCUUCGUCCGUAUCCUCAAGAACAGUGGCCGCUACUCGGACGCACUCGUCCUUUUCAAUAACUGGUGCAUUGGCAGGUUCGAUGUUGAAUUUCUUCAUCUUGAAUACAGAGCGGUUGAUUUGCACGGGCCAAUGCAAUUCUUGAUAGACGACGUGUUUCAUGGUAAACUUGAUUCUGCUGGUGCAUUGGGCAUUCAGAAAGUUCCUUGGAAGCCAAAGCUUGUGGAAACUUAUAACACGAUGAUUGAUCUUUAUGGAAAGGCCGGGAGGCACAAGAAUGCGAUGGACAUGUUUGUGGACAUGCUGGCUUAUCAGGUUAUGCCAGACAUAUGUACGUUCAAUACAAUGAUCUAUGGAUUUGGGUCAUGUGGCAGCGUCAAGGAAGCAGAGGCGCUGCUAGCUAACAUGGUCGUCAGGGGGAUCACUCCAGAUAUUAGGACAUAUAAUGUGAUGAUGAUGCUGUUUGCGUCAAUGGGGGAUGCGGAGGGAGUUUUGAAAUACUACCAUCAAAUUGGGAGGAUCGGGUUAUGCGCUGAUGCUGUGAGCUAUAGGAUUGUGCUACAGGUGCUAUGUGAGAGGAAGUUGGUGCGUGAAGCAGAAGAUGUGAUAGAAGGAAUUAUCAAGUCUGGCACUAGCAUCCAUGAACAGUCCAUGCCAGUUGUCAUGAAGAUGUAUAUUGAUCAGGGAUUGCUUGAUAAGGCAAAUGCAUUCUUUGAAAGGCAUUGCAGAGGCGAGGAGGUUUCAUCCAAGAAUUUUGCUGCCAUCAUGGAUGCAUUUGCAGAUAGGUGUCUUUGGGAAGAAGCCGAGCAUAUUUUCCACUGUGAUAGAGGGAUUGGGGGCAAGAGGGAGAUAGUGGAAUAUAAUGUGAUGGUCAAGGCUUAUGGUUUGGCAAGAAAAUAUGAUAGAGUCAUUUCUCUACUUGAAAACAUGAAGGGCUCUGGCAUCUCACCAGAUGAGUGCACUUACAAUUCCUUAAUUCAGAUGUUUUCUGCCGGUGGAUUUCCACACAGAGCUAAGAAGCUCUUGCAUAAAAUGAAGGACACAGGAUUUAAACCGGUGUGUGAGACAUACUCUGCUGUUAUGAGAGCUUAUUCUCUCAAUUCCUUGGCAUCUGAAGCUAUAGAUCUGUACAGUGAAAUGAAGGCCUCAGGUGUCGAACCAAAUGUGGUUGUUUAUGGUUUGCUGAUUAAUAUGUUUGUGGAGACAGGACAAGUGGAGAAGGCACUGCACUAUAGCAACUUGAUGGAAGAAUCUGGAAUCACUCCAAACCAUAUUGUCUUAACUUCGGUUAUCAAGGCCUACAGCAAGAUCAAUUGCUGGAAGGAAGCGCAGGAUUUGUAUACAAGGAUGAGGAACAUGGAUGGUGGCCCUGAUAUCAUUGCCUCGAAUACCAUGCUAAACCUGUAUGCAAAACUUGGGAUGGUCAUUGAGGCUAAGGCAAUCUUUGACAAUUUGAGGAGAAAUUAUCAGGGGGAUGAUGUUUCAUACAUUAUUAUGAUAUUUCUCUACAAGAACAUGGGCUUGCUUAACGAGUCUAUUAAGAUUGCUCAUGAAUUAGAUAAUUCAGGCUUACUAUCUGACUGUGCUGCAUAUAAUGCUGUUAUGGCAUGUUAUGUGGCCAAGGGCAACUUGAGAGAAUGUGCAGAGCUGGUGCAAAAAAUGGUGGAAAAUAACAUCUUUCCAGAUGCGUCAACCUUUCAGAUGAUAUUUUCUGCAGUGAAUAAAAUUAAUAUUUCAUCAGAGGAAGUUUUGCAGUUAGAAUCAGCAUACAGUGAUGGCAGGAGUUCUGCCAAGCAUGCUAUACUUGCAUUCUUGUUUUCCAUGGCCGGCAUGCAUGCUGCUGCAUUAAAUAUCUGUGAGCAACUUUCAAGGCCUGAGUUGACAAUUGAUCCAUGUGCAUACAAUGUUGCCUUCAAGGUGUAUGCUUCCUGUGGAGAGGUGGAUAAAGCUUUCAGUUUGUUCAUGCGGAUGCAUGCUUUAGGGCUAAAACCGGACACUGUUACUUGCAUCGAUUUGUCAACUUGUUAUGGGAUAUCUGGAAUGUCAGAAGGCAUGAGAAGGAUAAGUGGUCUUCUUGCAUACAGAAACAGUGAGUUUAGUAAGUCUUUACAUAAAGCACUGGUUUCCUAUAGAGAAACUGGAAGCAAUGAUCUUGCUGCUCAGUUAGUCACAAAUGGGAUGUUAAGAUAG